rnacentral:rRNA from 1 species
AGUGAACGCUGGCGGUAGGCCUAACACAUGCAAGUCGAACGGCAGCACAGUAAGAGCUUGCUCUUACGGGUGGCGAGUGGCGGACGGGUGAGGAAUACAUCGGAAUCUACUUUUUCGUGGGGGAUAACGUAGGGAAACUUACGCUAAUACCGCAUACGACCUACGGGUGAAAGCAGGGGAUCUUCGGACCUUGCGCGAUUGAAUGAGCCGAUGUCGGAUUAGCUAGUUGGCGGGGUAAAGGCCCACCAAGGCGACGAUCCGUAGCUGGUCUGAGAGGAUGAUCAGCCACACUGGAACUGAGGCACGGUCCAGACUCCUACGGGAGGCAGCAGUGGGGAAUAUUGGACAAUGGGCGCAAGCCUGAUCCAGCCAUACCGCGUGGGUGAAGAAGGCCUUCGGGUUGUAAAGCCCUUUUGUUGGGAAAGAAAAGCAGCAGGUUAAUACCCCGCUGUUCUGACGGUACCCAAAGAAUAAGCACCGGCUAACUUCGCG